GCGGUAAGGCCUCUUCGGGGGUACACGAGCGGCGAACGGGUGAGUAACACGUGAGUAAUCUGCCCUCCACUUCGGGAUAAGCCUCGGAAACGGGGUCUAAUACCGGAUAUGACUCUCCUCGGCAUCGGGGUGGGUGGAAAGUUUUUUCGGUGGGGGAUGUGCUCGCGGCCUAUCAGCUUGUUGGUGGGGUAAUGGCCUACCAAGGCUUCGACGGGUAGCCGGCCUGAGAGGGUGACCGGCCACACUGGGACUGAGACACGGCCCAGACUCCUACGGGAGGCAGCAGUGGGGAAUAUUGGACAAUGGGCGGAAGCCUGAUCCAGCAACGCCGCGUGAGGGAUGACGGCCUUCGGGUUGUAAACCUCUUUCAGUAGGGACGAAGCGCAAGUGACGGUACCUACAGAAGAAGCACCGGCCAACUACGUGCCAGCAGCCGCGGUAAUACGUAGGGUGCGAGCGUUGUCCGGAAUUAUUGGGCGUAAAGGGCUCGUAGGCGGUUUGUCGCGUCGGGAGUGAAAACCCAGGGCUUAACUCUGGGCUUGCUUUCGAUACGGGCAGACUAGAGGCAUGCAGGGGAGAACGGAAUUCCUGGUGUAGCGGUGAAAUGCGCAGAUAUCAGGAGGAACACCGGUGGCGAAGGCGGUUCUCUGGGCAUGUCCUGACGCUGAGGAGCGAAAGUGUGGGGAGCGAACAGGAUUAGAUACCCUGGUAGUCCACACCGUAAACGUUGGGCGCUAGGUGUGGGAUCCAUUCCACGGGUUCCGUGCCGCAGCUAACGCAUUAAGCGCCCCGCCUGGGGAGUAC
rnacentral:rRNA from 1 species